rnacentral:rRNA from 1 species
UGGGGAAUAUUGCACAAUGGGGGAAACCCUGAUGCAGCCAUGCCGCGUGUGUGAAGAAGGCCUUCGGGUUGUAAAGCACUUUCAGCGAGGAGGAAAGGUUGAUGCCUAAUACGUAUCAACUGUGACGUUACUCGCAGAAGAAGCACCGGCUAACUCCGUGCCAGCAGCCGCGGUAAUACGGAGGGUGCAAGCGUUAAUCGGAAUUACUGGGCGUAAAGCGCACGCAGGCGGUUGGAUAAGUUAGAUGUUAAAGCCCCGGGCUCAACCUGGGAAUUGCAUUUAAAACUGUCCAGCUAGAGACUUGUAGAGGGGGGUAGAAUGCCAGGUGUAGCGGUGAAAUGCGUAGAGAUCUGGAGGAAUACCGGUGGCGAAGGCGGCCCCCUGGACAAAGACUGACGCUCAGGUGCGAAAGCGUGGGGAGCAAACA